rnacentral:lncRNA from 1 species
UUUUUAGACAUUGUUAAUGCAUGUUUAUCAUGAAAAAAAAUACUAAGAAAAUGCAUGAUGUGAUUUUAUAAUUCUUAGUUUUUUCCAUUAACUCAUGUUUUGGCAAAAAUAAUCAAAUUAAUGCAUUAUUUAGUUUUUAAUCACUAAAUUUCAAGAUUGAUUUUCCAAGUAGAUUUUAAAAAAACAUUAACCAUGUUCAUUUUAAUUUUUAGGUUAAUUUUAG